AUACCGGGCCUUUUUGGGCUUGGUAAUUGGAAUGAGGGAGAGUUAAACGGACCAUCGAGUAUCCAUUGGAGGGCAAGUCUGGUGCCAGCAGCUGCGGUAAUACCAGCUCCAAUAGCGUAUAUUAAAGUUGUUGCAGUUAAAAAGCUCGUAGUUGGACUUGUGUGCGCUGUCCGCGGGUGGCCUGCGCCCAAAAGGGCGUUUCGGUUCGGCCCCGGUGGCGCCUUGAAAUCUGCAGCUGGGGGGACGUUGGCCUUAACUGGUCGGCGACCGCACGCCGGCUGCUCGGUUACUGUGAGAAAAUUAGAGUGUUCAAGGCAGGCAUUGGGUGCAAUUGAAUACAUUAGCAUGGAAUAAUAAAAUAUGGCUCCUGCCGUAUUUUGUUGGUUUUGACUGGUGGGAGUAAUGAUUGAUAGGGACGGUUGGGGGUGCUAGUAUUGAGCGGCCAGAGGUGAAAUUCAUGGAUUCGCUCAAGACUAACUUAUGCGAAAGCAUUCACCGAGGACGUCCUCUUUAAUCAAGAACGAAAGUUGGGGGAUCGAAGACGAUCAGAUACCGUCGUAGUCUCAACCAUAAACUAUGUCGACUUGGGAUCGGCGGUAGUUUUUUCAUUAAGACACUGUCGGGACCACGGGAGAAAUCAAAGUGUCUGGACUCUGGGGGAAGUAUGGUCGCAAGGCUGAAACUUGAAGGAAUUGACGGAAGGGCACCACCAGGAGUGGAGCCUGCGGCUUAAUUUGACCCAACACGGGGAAACUUACCAGGUCCAGAGAUGUAGAGGAUUGACAGAUUGAAGCUCUUUCUUGAUCACUUCGGUGGUGGUGCAUGGCCGUUCUUAGUUGGUGGAGUGAUUUGUCUGGUUAAUUCCGUUAACGAACGAGACCUCAGCCUGCUAGUGUAGUCGGCUGGAUUGCCUUUGGCGAUCCGUGAUUUCGACUUCUUAGAGGGACAAUCGACGCGCAGUCGAUGGAAGUUUGAGGCAAUAACAGGUCUGUGAUGCCCUUAGAUGUUCUGGGCCCACGCGCGCUACACUGCUGGGCUCAGCGAGUUUUACUUGGCCGAGAGGCCCGGUUAAUCUUGUGAAAUCCCAGCGUGCUUGGGCUCGCCUCCUGCAACUGGAGGCGCCAACGAGGAAUUCCUAGUAGACGCAGGUCAUCAACCUGCAUCGAUUACGUCCCUGCCCUUUGUACACACCGCCCGUCGUUCCAUAAGAGUGAGGCAUCCGGUGAAUUCUCGGGAGAGCCUGGGCGUGGCCAGCAAUGGUCUGCUCGGGUUUGAACUUGCAUAAACUUGGUGCCUAUGAUUAGGG
rnacentral:rRNA from 1 species